rnacentral:rRNA from 1 species
UACGAAGGGGGCUAGCGUUGCUCGGAAUCACUGGGCGUAAAGGGUGCGUAGGCGGGUCUUUAAGUCAGGGGUGAAAUCCUGGAGCUCAACUCCAGAACUGCCUUUGAUACUGAGGAUCUUGAGUUCGGGAGAGGUGAGUGGAACUGCGAGUGUAGAGGUGAAAUUCGUAGAUAUUCGCAAGAACACCAGUGGCGAUGGCGGCUCACUGGCCCGAUACUGACGCUGAGGCACGAAAGCGUGGGGAGCAAACAGG